rnacentral:rRNA from 1 species
CCUACGGGUGGCAGCAGUGGGGAAUAUUGGGCAAUGGGCGCAAGCCUGACCCAGCAACGCCGCGUGAAGGAAGAAGGCUUUCGGGUUGUAAACUUCUUUUCUGAGGGACGAAGAAAGUGACGGUACCUCAGGAAUAAGCCACGGCUAACUACGUGCCAGUAGCCGCGGUAAGACGUAGGUGGCAAGCGUUAUCCGGAUUUAUUGGGUUGAAAGGGAGUGUGGGUGGGAAAGCAAGUCAGAUGUGAAAACUCAGGGCUCAACCCUGAGCCUGCAUUUGAAACUGGUUUUCUUGAGUGCUGGGGAGGCAAUCGGAAGUCCGUGUGUAGCGGUGAAAUGCGUAGAUAUACGGAGGAACCCCAGUGGCGAAGGCGGAUUGCUGGACAGUAACUGACGCUGAGGCGCGAAAGCGUGGGGAGCAAACAGGAUUAGAUACCCUAGUAGUC